GUAUGUGUUUGUGUGCCCUGCGAUGGAUUGGCACCCUGUCCAGGGUGUACCCCGCCUUGUGCCCGAUGCUCCCUGGGAUAGGCUCCAGGUUCCCUGUGACCCUGAAAAGGAGUAAGCGGUAUAGAAGAUGGAUGGAUGGAUUUAUACUGCUCUAUAGGUUGUGGGUGUAGAGAAAACAGCUGUCAGUAAAGCUGCAGUAAGUAAUAUGUUUAUACUAUUCUAUAGGCUGUAGGUGGACAGAAAUGAGCUGUUAUUAAAGCUGAGAAUUAUUUAUUUUAUUUUUUUUGAGAAUUAUUAUUUUAAACUGCUCUAUUGGCAGCUGCAAGGUGAACAGAAUCAUGUUUAAAGGUAUCAUAAGUAAUUUAUUUAUACUGCUUUAUUUGCUGUAAGCAUAAAGAAAGGAGGCAUCAUUAAAGGUGCAAUAAGUAAUAUACUUUUACUGCUCUAUUGGCUGUUGGUGAGGUGAACGAAGCCAUCAAUAAAUGUGCCAUAAGCAUUAUAUUUAUAUUGCUUUAUUGUUUCUGAGUGGAGAGAGAUGAACCAUUAUUAAAGGUAUGAUAAGUAAAAUGUUUAAACCGCUCUAUAUAAUAAUUUAUUUGAGUUGUGAUAAUUAAUAUAGUUAUACUGCAUUGUACUGCCCUUAAAUGUUGAGUUUCUUCAAUAUGGCAUACACUUGCUGUGGUUAAAGUUGUUGCUAGGCAACUGGGAAACGUAAACGGUAACAAUAAGCUAGCCGAUGCCUGAGGCUAUCCAAUAAAAAAAGCUGACGGGAACGUUAGCAUUUUCCUCCUUAAUUACACAUGUCUGCUGACUGAACAUCUAUGGGUUACAUUUAUGAGAAGUGUUAUGAAAUGUUAUAGGGGGGAAAAAAGAGAUCAUAAGCAACAUCAUAAUCAUUGGCCACUAGGGGGCACUAUAUAUUUUUUCAAAAAUUAAACUUAAAAUGUUUUCUUCCCAGGACAAAAAACCCCACUUCCUGUACAGAAACAUCAACAUCAGCAUUACGUCACAACUUUGAAACUGUGUGCAAACUCCAAGGCUGAGUGUGGAUAAGUUUGACGUGAAUGAAGGUGACAUCGUGAGGAUCAUCUGUAGUGCGAAAGAAGAAUCCGGUUUGCUGCACUUCAUCAUUAAAGACGACUUGAAUGAAAUCUACCAAGAAGAAACCACCAGUGGUGAGGUGCAGAAGAAUCACUCCCUCAGGUCUGUAGGGAUGGCCAAGAUCUCCUGCUCAUAUUUAAUUAAAGUAGGAAGCACAACUAUUUCUUCAAAUGACAGCAACGUGGUCAGUGUGGUUGUGAAAGACCUGGACAUCAUGCCAACUAUCACAGUCCUCCCGUCCACGCAAGUUAUCGAGGGAGACCCUGUGCACAUCACAUGUGGUGUGAAAGGAACAUCCCAUAACUCAACUUCGCUCAUGCUAUCGAAAGGAUCGUAUAUCCUCCAGAGAGGAAAAACCCCUGAAUUCAUAGCUGCUGUCCUGGCAAACAAUUCCGGGACAUACGAGUGCAGUGUCCUGCUGAAGAACGUAGAUAAAACUGUUAAAGCAAAUCUUACUGUCAAAGAGCUCUUUUCCACACCGGUGCUGACCAUCACGCCGACGGAGGUGUUCGAGAGGCAGCAGUUUAACGUCACCUGCACAAGCUCUGAAUUUGCAUCAGAGAGAAUCGGACGUCAUGAUGUGAAGUACUCUAUCUACAGGAACAACCAGAGACUUAACUCAUCCGAUGGCGCAUACAGAACCACGGCACACACUAAGACCAAUGGAAAUUACACGUGUACUGCUCAAGUGAAUGACACCAUCAAAUGGAGCAAUUCCAAGUUCUUCAAAGCAAAAGUUCUCGUCUCCAAACCCACCAUCACUGUGCUUGGUGAGGUGGUCCUGGGUCGAUCAUUUCAGAUCGAGUGUUACUCAGACACCGGGAGUUUCCCCAUCACUUACUCACUGAACCGGAACCACAGAACACUAAACUACAUCGAGGUAUCAACGGCAUUUCAGAAAGCCAUCUUCAACGCCAGCAUAAUGUCUGAAAACGAAAUCCACGAGUUCAGAUGUGAGGCACAGAACAACGGCAUCAAUCCAGCUUUGACAAGCAACGCUCUUCUUGCUCCAGUAACAGUUCCUGUAGGGAAGCCGACCCUGAUGACCAUCCCCAAGGGUGAUGCCAUCAUCGAAAAUGAGUACGUUGAAUUCCUGUGCUUUGUUACGGAAGGAACUCCACCCAUCAGCUUUAAAUGGUACCAAGGCGAGGACCGCCGUCCUGUGCACACCAUUACAGUGAUGAAAAACCACUCCACGUACAAUGUUCCCGUGGUGAAGAGCGUCCACAGCGGCAGGUAUUACUGCGAAGCCAUAAACGGAGCGGGAAUAGAGGAAGCAAGCAAAGACAUCAUGGUCACAGUGAGGAUAGCCAGGUGGAAGCAAGGCCUGAUCUCUGGCGUGUGUCUGCUGUGUGUGACCGGGCUCGUAAUCGCCUUCGUGAUACGCUACAGGGCUAACCGAGUUAAAGUAGCCAGCAGCAAUGGAGCAGGAAUCUGGACCGUGAGGCCGCCAGUUUUAGAUAUCAGUGAAGUAGUGGACGUAGACGAACCUGAGGAGCCUAACGUGGAGUACACGGAAGUGCUGCAUCCGCAAACUACUGACCCCGCACGAGGUAAACCACAUUUUUUAUUUAUUAAGAAUUCUGCCAAGGAAGGUCAAAAUUAUUUGACAUAUGCAUUAGCUAUGAAGCAGAAAGUUUUUGUCAUCCAAAUCUCACCAACAAAUUCGAAAGUCAAACACACAACAUGGAAAAACUACUUAAAUGUGAAAGAACAUCGGAACAUCACUGUCAGAAUUAUUCUUAUUCUUAUUAUUGUUCCUGAUUUAGUAAACUGGAUAUGAACAGAUGUACUCAUAAAUCUUUUUUACAGGAGCUGUUACACAAGAAAUUUGUGAAAAAUCCAGUUAGAUCAGAAAAACGUUUGUGUCCUACAGUUCACUCUUAAGUUGCAAAUUGUCUUUUAUGUACAGACCACACUGGCAGGUUUACACACCAAUUUAAUGAACGUUUUGUCAAAAUCAAGUCUCUUCAUUUUAAUGACUUGAAAGAAAGCGAUUCCGAAACAAAUCUGUAAGUUAAGACAAAUUAAACUAGCUGUUCAAUUAGGGUAGAAGUAACGGCACUCUAUAAAAGGAUGACGAGUUUUUGGUUAGAACGUUUCUGAGGUGCUUUUUCACCUUUUAGUUGCCAUUUUGUCAUUUUCAGCUCACUGUGAGCUUUGCCUUUUAUGGAAAUUUGUGGGCGUGGCUAAAUAUAAAUCGGCUGUGCUUUGAACACUGAUUGGCAUUCAUCAAAAUACCCAUGUGAGUACGAAGAAAAUCAAAAUUUUGUAAGUAAAAAUACUAAAAGAUUGAUACAUGAUGUCCAUUAUACUAUGCAGUGCAUUUAGGUGUAAUUACAUAAUAACGUAUAGCUGCUGAUGUUCUCUUAGCAGCAUUAAUAGCAGUGUAUCUCUUGUCUGAUUUAUUGCAGUUGCCGGGAGUUUUAAUCUUAUAAUAUUCUAAACUUUGUUCAAAAUGUUUGUGUUUCUUUCAGUAGUGUUAUUAAAAAUGAGUUGCUCAUCAUUGUGAUGAUGAAAUGAAUUCUCUUGGUGUCAUUGGUUUUUCAGUUCAAGCCAGAAGCAUUUUGUUACUGAGUGGAACUAUUUUUUCCAGCUGUGAGGAAAAUUCCCAAAACCAGCUCGAGUGCCGUUCCCACUCACAUCUUUUUUUUUCUCUUCUCCAUUCUUCAUUACUACCCACCAUCUUUCCUCUCUGUCUAGUUUUCAUGUACUUCAGAUGAAAUACAGAUAUUUGCCUCCUUCUCUUUCUCUAAACCCUUUGAACGUUUAGUCGUCCCGCUCUCGAUCUCUGAUAAGACUAAAUCCGCUUCCUGCGAGGUCCUGGAUGCUCUUAUACUCUCAUUUUAAAAAGGGUUUGGUCUUUUUUUUUUAUAAUAGUGCCAUCUUUCAUUGUAUAAACAGGAAGGGCUGAGCUAAUUACCUCAGAAGAUUCCUCAUUCCCUAAGUGCCUGCUGUUAGUUUUCAUAUGCUACACAGUGAGCAAUUUAUCGCAGCGGCUUUCAUCUGGGAAAUCUGACCAGUUUUUACAAGUUAUGUUUCGAUGUUUUGAGAUUACAGGCCCAUUUCUUUCUGUAUGUUUAACUCAGUCAUCACCCAGCGAUGCAUCAUACAGACAUUUUAUUUUUAUGCUCCAAAAAUCUAAAAACCUCUCCAGGUUUCGGCAGCAAAAAAACUCCAGAACAUUUUCCAGGUAUCAUUUAUUUCUGUCAUUUGUUAGCCAUUUAUAUAUUGGAAAUUAAGGUUAAAAACUAUAAUUAAGUAAUUAUGUACUUAAAUGUUUUAAUAAUUGUUGUAACACUGUUUGUUCUAUUACUUCAGACAAAAUAUAUGAUAUCAUUGCAUUUUCUUUUUUCUUGUUUUGUUUCUGUUAUGUUUUAUAUUUUUGCACACAAGCAUGCUCCAAAAAGCUAAAACUGUUUUAGCAGUUUUAUAAAAGCAGCAUGAAAUGUCAACAUCUAUUCCUUUUAGUGAUGAUUAUAUUCUUCAAAGACAAAAGAGAUCAUUAAAUAUUAUAAUAUAAUAAUAAUUAUUCUCUCUCUUUUUCUCUCUCUCUCUCUCUCUCGAUCCAUCCAUCCAUAUCUCUUUUUUCAGUUCCAUUGAGGCAAGGCACAGAUACGGUAUACAGUGAGGUUCAGAGGCCUACAUCAGGGUCGUCUGAAGAAUACUGAAUUGAGUCACUGGAGAGAAUGAGCUAUUUAUCUCACCAUAAAUAUCUCAAUAGUGUGAACACUAGAACACACUAUUUCCUUCCUGUUCCCCUCUGUACUACAAAACCUCAUGUUGCAAAGAUACUGGAUGCUGGAUGUUACACUUUUAUUUCUUUGCUUAAAGGUGCAGGUACUAGAAUUGUGUUCACAUGCUGUUGUUGAUGUUGUUUUAUUUGCAAUUUCAUUAUUAAAACUGAAGGAAACCUC